CCUGUGCUCGCCGGAGAGAUCCGGUUUUCCCGCAAGGGACGCAGAGACAGGUGCUGCAUGGCUGUCGUCAGCUCGUGUCGUGAGAUGUUGGGUUAAGUCCCGCAACGAGCGNAACCCUCGCCUUUAGUUGCCAUCAUUAAGUUGGGCACUCUAGAGGGACCGCCGGCGACAAGCCGGAGGAAGGUGGGGAUGACGUCAAGUCCUCAUGGCCCUUACACCCUGGGCUACACACGUGCUACAAUGGCGGUGACAGUGGGCAGCCAACUCGCGAGAGUGAGCUAAUCCCAAAAAACCGUCCCAGUUCAGAUUGCACUCUGCAACUCGGGUGCAUGAAGGUGGAAUCGCUAGUAAUCGCAGAACAGCAGGCUGCGGUGAAUACGUUCCCGGGCCUUGUACACACCGCCCGUCACACCAUGGGAGUUGGCUCUACCCGAAGACGGUGCGCUAACCUCGCAAGAGGAGGCAGCCGGCCACGGUCGGGUCAGCGACUGGGGUGAAGUCGUAACAAGGUAGGCGUAGUGCU
rnacentral:rRNA from 1 species